GAUGAGCGUCUGACAGACACGGUCUGAACUUGGUUCUUAUUAUGCUGAGAUGUGAGAAUCUCCUAUUACACCAAGCUGCCCUGCUUAAAGGGCUGAUCGGACGAUUCUAUAGGGUAUCUGCUGCUGGUCCUACAAAAGGCCGCAGGUCCAAGGGACGCCAUUUUUCAACCCGUUUCAGACGCCUCUCAACCAUGAGGCGAAAUUCCGAUCUGGACGAUUUUCGGCUGUCAGACCCUGAUUUGGAUAGCAUCACAGUCUGAUAUCUGAAGAGAGAGACGACCUCAUCCUUUAGAUAAUCCUUUUUCACAUAAUAAUAAUAAUCCAGCUGUGUUCCUGGGAGAUUUUUCCUCUGACGGAUGAACAAGGCGCGGUGAGCAGGAGCUUACCUCGCCACAGACCGACCCCGCUCCAUCCCACCAGCUCUACAUCCACUCCCAAGCAUCCAGGGAGGGAGCGAGCAUCCGGGCUCCCGUAGUGGAACUCCCAUCCACCCUUCCCCUCUCCUUACAUCCGAUCCUCCAUCAACCGUCCGUCCGCGUCCACAGGCCCCCGGCUCUCGGCCCGUCAGCUACCCGGAUCCUUCACCUCCUCAUCAGAGAUCCAGGCAGGGCGUCCUCUCCCUGACUUCUGCCCGGACCCUCAACUCUCAGCCUGAUAAC